rnacentral:misc_RNA from 1 species
AACGCACAUUGCGCCCCUUGGUAUUCCGGGGGGCAUGCCUGUUCGAGCGUCAUUUCAACCCUCAAGCUCAGCUUGGUAUUGGGCCUCCGCCGGUCACACGGCGGGCCUUAAAAUCAGUGGCGGCGCCGUUGGGUCCUGAACGUAGUAAUAUACCUCUCGUUACAGGGUCCCCGCGUGCUCCUGCCGUUAAACCCCCAAUUUUCUAUGGUUGACCUCGGAUCAGGUAGGGAUACCCGCUGAACUUAA